rnacentral:rRNA from 1 species
GACGAAGGUUGCAAGCGUUAUCCGGAUUCAUUGGGUUUAAAGGGAGCGUAGGUGGCCUUGUAAGUCUGUGGUGAAAUCCUGUCGCUUAACGAUAGAAUUGCCAUUGAUACUGCAGGGCUUGAGUACAGUUGCCGUUGGCGGAAUAUGACAUGUAGUGGUGAAAUACAUAGAUAUGUCAUAGAACACCGAUUGCGAAGGCAGCUGACGAAACUGUAACUGACACUGAGGCUCGAAAGUGUGGGGAUCAAACAGG